AACGCACAUUGCGCCCUUCGGUUAUUCCUUAGGGCAUGCCUGUUCGAGCGUCAUUUCAACCUUCAAGCCUGGCUUGGUGUUGGGCGCUGUCCCGCCCCCGCGCGCGGACUCGCCCCAAAUGAAUUGGCAGUCGCACCCCCGAUACGCGAGCGCAGCAAAGUCGCGCGAGCCGAACCGGCGGGAAGGACGCUCCACGAGACCCCCCACAGUCUUGACCUCGGAUCAGGUAGGGAUACCCGCUGAACUUAA
rnacentral:misc_RNA from 1 species